rnacentral:rRNA from 1 species
GAUGAACGCUGGCGGCGUGCCUAAUACAUGCAAGUAGAACGCUGAAGGAGGAGCUUGCUCUUCUGGAUGAGUUGCGAACGGGUGAGUAACGCGUAGGUAACCUGCCUGGUAGCGGGGGAUAACUAUUGGAAACGAUAGCUAAUACCGCAUGACAACAGUUAUUGCAUGAUAACUGUUUAAAAGGGGCAACUGCUCCACUACCAGAUGGACCUGCGUUGUAUUAGCUAGUUGGUGAGGUAACGGCUCACCAAGGCGACGAUACAUAGCCGACCUGAGAGGGUGAUCGGCCACACUGGGACUGAGACACGGCCCAGACUCCUACGGGAGGCAGCAGUAGGGAAUCUUCGGCAAUGGACGGAAGUCUGGCCGAGCAACGCCGCGUGAGUGAAGAAGGUUUUCGGAUCGUAAAGCUCUGUUGUAAGAGAAGAACGAGUGUGAGAGUGGAAAGUUCACACUGUGACGGUAUCUUACCAGAAAGAGACGGCUAACUACGUG